AGGAGCCCCUGAGAAGGUGGGAAGGAUUGUGGAGAAUGGCCCCAGCAGAGAGCUGUCAAAAAGUUCUUUGGCAAAUCCUGCCUUCAGCCAAAUAUUCCAGGGCCUGGAGAGAGGGAAGAAGCUCGGUGACCGCCCAAUGAGGGGCUUCUUACCCCAUGGCCUGGGGGGCUCCUCUGGAGGCUCCUCUGGAGGCUUCCAGGACGAGCCCCUGCAGGAGUAUUUCACUGAGAGGCUGCUGGAGCUGGGGAGCUGCGAGGGCAGGAGGAGCAGCAGGAGAUGCAGGGGGUUUGCAGAGAGGAACCAGAGCCGGCGCUGGGCCGGGAGGGAGAGCGGCCCUGCAGCCCAGCACAGCAGCACAGGAAUGGACAGCAAGGCUCAGCAGGAGAUCCACAGCAUCCUAAAGGUCUACUCUGGCGACUUCUUGGAGCUUUUGACAGUGCCCAUCGCCGCUCCUCUGGAAGCGUUGGUGCAGGAGAAGUGAUGCUGGAGAUGGUCACAGGUUGUCGUGCAGUCCUGAAGAGUUGUUCCUGUUCUGCACCACUCUCAUUUAUAGCUCAGUCCCCUCUGAUGCAGAAAGGGGCUUGUUUUGGGAUUGCUCUUGAUUAACAUUGCAUAUAUUUGUUUUCAGUUAUUUCCUGGAAAGAAUCAGCAUGAUUGAGCCAUAGGUGCAGUACAUACAUGCAUGUAUUAGAAUACUUAAGUUGCCUUCAAAAAAGCUGAUUAGUGUCAGAGGAGUAGCUUGUUUCCUGCUGUGCACUUUGUGUUAAUUAAUCUGAGGAAAGGCUGUUGUAUUCUGCCUCUUUAUUUCGCUUUUUUAAGCCCCUUGCUUUUAUGAUGUCACUGUGGCCUGACUAAUUUAUCUUCUUACUGUGACUUAUUUCUGACACAGAUGCAAAUAGUUGAUGAGAAAUUACUGAUUUUCAGUCAUUGCCAUGAAAUCAUGAGGUGGAUCACUGCUAGAGUCUGAUGCAUGAAGAAGCAAACACAGACAUAAGAUCUACUUUUAAAUAUGAUCUGCCAUUAUGGUUUUAUUUGCAGACUCAAAACCCCUUGACUGAAAAACCACCGCAGGGGCAGAGAGGAAAAAAUGCUGGAUUUAAGUUAGAGUGAUGGAAUUAAGUAUGAAAGAAGGCUCCUUCCCUCUUUCCUUCUGUAAAUACAAGAACCACAUAGGGAAUUCCUAAUGUAAUCUGAACUUCAAAUUGUUUAUUGUAUUUUAAUGUUUAUCGUGGUCAUGUAAGUAUAAAAUGUCAGCUGCAGCUGAAUCCUUUUACUAUGGGAAAUGUCAAUGUUUAAUUCCACAGUGAAUAUCAAACCCAAACGAAGCAAUGACUUUAGGCUUCCAGAAAGAUCUAUUACUGCCUGUGGUAUCAUCAGCAAUAAAUUCCUCAUUAUAGUUGUGGUUGGAA